CCUCCCUCCCUGUGCUGGAGCAGAGCACAUGGAGCAGCCCACCUAGCACACAGGCUUGGGCCUGUCUUGGGUUUCUGCAGAGCUGCUGACUGGGAGCAGCCUAGGCUCAAGCAGAAAGGAUGGAUUCCAUGUUGCAUGUCUCUAAUGAUUAUGGGGAGUCUCCUGAGAUUAGCCUCAGAUCCUAGAGGUAUAUCCAUGGGUAUGGAGACAAUCUUGAAAACAUAAUCAAGAGUAAGCUAAAGGCUCAAAAGAUAGAUAGCAAGUACAGAGCUCAAAAUAUAUUCUUAUUAUAAGCCAAUCUCAUAAUUUAUUUGAGGCCUGACUAAUUUUUGUGAAUGUUUGGGAGAACAAUGCUAAGAUUCUUACUACAUUUCUUCAGAUAAUAUUAUGAUUGAUCCUGUACAAAAAGACAACAGAGAGAGAUUAAGCCCCUUUGUGGUAGCAAUUAUGGCUGGGGCUUUCAAAACAGCAUAAGGAAGUUAGGAGCACAGUUCCUACAGGUGGAUAAGCAAGCAGUCUAAUGGAGUUGGGGGCCAGGAACACAAGCUAGGUGUGUUGCAUAACUGAAUGUUCAUAGUCUCAGCAGUUAGUGGUUGCUCCCAGCCUAACCAGUGCUUACAAAGGUUCUUUGCUUCUUUGUUCAGUGGGUUGUUGUUGGGUUUUGAUUAGAUGAAAUUGCAGAGUCAUAGAGCAAGGAUAUCCCAUUGCCCUGGGGGUGAAGCAAGGGCAUCGCAGCCCUGCGGUUAAGGCCACCAGCCUACCCUUAGCCCUCAGGGCAGUAUGGCCCAAUGACCAGAGUUACUGUGGUUUCCCUUGUCAUCAGGGCAUCUGACUAUGACCUAAUAGAGUCAAUGUGGUCACCCUUGUCCUUAGGGAAGGUUGGCCUAAUAGCCAGAGUUAGUCUAGGCACCUUGUCUGUCUUGGUGGUACAGCUCAGUGGUCGGAGUCAAUAUGAUUGCUUUUGCCAUCAGGGCAGUUCAGGCUAAUGGUGGAAGUCAGUAUAAUAAUUCUCUCAGUAGGGUAUUUGUAUUAUGAAGGCUCUAGCUGGUUUAUGAUUUUGAUGGUUUUCUCAUGGCUAUGAUCUGAGAAACCCAGGGAAAAAAAGCAAGCCUUUUCCAUUGCUGGAAACUGGAAAACAAAAUGUUUGAUUGAGGUCAUCUUGACAUCCAUUAGUGUGAUAAAUGAAGUGGAAUUCAAGGCUGUUCCAUUAUCAAGGUUCAUUUUCGUUGUUCAGAUCUGUGGGGUUUUUUGUUUUUUUUUCCUUUCUUUUUUUUUUUUUUUACAACAUGGCCUCAGACUCAAGGCUGAUUACAAUAAUUACAUUUUCUACCCAUAAUAGUACAAAUGAUUCAAAGAGUUAUUCAGAAUGUUUCAAUGUCAGCACUUAGAUAAAUGCUCAUUCUUUCAUAGGGAUUUCAUUUUUUUUAUGCAGAAGGUUAGUUAGUAGCUGCAAUAACGGUAUAGCUGUCAGAAAGCAGUGAAUUUACUUGCCCAGUAACUACAUUCACAAUUGUUUGGAACUCUGCAUGGCAACAAAACCGAAUGGGAUACUAGAUAAUUUAUAACUACUUCCCAGUACAAGGAGAACAAUUACACUGUGUGCAGUAUAAAAUGGCCAUUAUUUAGCUCAGUUUUUAAAAAUUAUUUGAACAAAAUGCCUAUCCUUUCCAGGGCUAUUUUCUUCAUAGUUCUAAUUAGAUACCCUAGAAAUACAGAAUGCAUAAAUUUUAGCCAGCAAA